UGUGACGUCCUGUCUCGCGAGAUGAGACUUGUGACAUCGGGAUUAGCUGUCAGUAAGGAGCAAAGGAUCUGAAAAUUAAUGGCGUUGCGGGACAUUUAAGAAGCGAUCCAGGACUGUGGGGAAAUAAAACCGGGGCUGCCUAGCUAAAAGAGGGACUGUUGGGCGGGAGUCUGCCUUUCAGUUGAAAAUGCAAAACAACGAAGUGCUGAAGCCUGCCAAGUACUUUUCGGAGCUGGAAAAGAGCGUGUUACUGGCUUUGGUGGAAAAGUAUAAGUAUGUCCUAGAAUGUAAGAAAAGUGAUGCUCGGACUAUAGCCCUAAAGCAGCGCACGUGGCAAGCUUUAGCCCAUGAAUAUAAUUCCCAGCCUAGUGUGUCACUGAGGGAUUUUAAGCAGCUGAAGAAAUGCUGGGAGAACAUCAAAGCUAGGACCAAAAAGAUUAUGGCCCAUGAAAGGAGAGAAAAGGGAAAACUUUUUGGGCCAGAGUCUAAUAGUCAUCAAGCUUUGAAAGAAAAGGUUGCAAGUAUGAUUCCUGAGCAGCUCUAUUUUGUACAUAACCAGCCUGAUGAAGGAAGAGGAUACAAUCAUGAUACGUCCAACCAAGAAAUGGACUGCAAGAGAGUUAAUCUGUUAGAUCUGGAAGUACUUAUUGACGAACAAGGCAAAAUUCUAACCAAACCUUUUAGGAAAGUACCUGAAACAAAUUCAUUAUGUGAUGAUGGCUCACCUCCCCAGUCCAUAGACAAAUCCUUUCCUAAUGGAGAUUUGGAACUUCUCAUCGAUGAGCAAGGUAAAAUCCAAGCCGAACCAAUUCGGAAAGUGCCCGUCACAGAUUCACAGUGUACACAGGGCUCGCCUUCAAGCUCCAUAAAGACAGAUAUGGCUGACCAAACUCCAGAGAAGGCUGAUGCUGAUAAGGCAAAAAGUAAAGACAAGCCAAGAUCAAAAGAUCUGCCUUCACAACGUAGUAAAAAAGAGCACAUGAAGGAUUUAAAGAAACAGCACCCUGGAAAUUGUGCAGGCUGCGAUGUGUUUAUUCCUUUGGGAAAUGAAAAACUAUGCAAACCUUGUGCUGAAAAAGUCCUGUGCCUUCUAUGCAAGAUUUUGUUACCUGGAUGAAAGGAGCUAUGCAAGAAUCUUUUGAUUCUUUUAAGCAUUCACAUAAUGAAGGGACAUCCUCAUUAGUGGAAUCAGUCUUUGAGGACGUUUCUUCAGAGGGUUCAGCAGACUUUUUUCCUAUUGAGGAAAUCUAACCUUUUCUGUCGGUUAGAGAUACCAUGGGGCAACAGAACUGCCCAAAAAGACUUGUUAACUUUUUGCAGGAAUCAUUAAAAAGAAGCUUUGUUUUUUUUAGACUCUGUUAUAUCCGAAAGAAAAAAAAGCCACUGGUCAACUAUCCUUCUCAAAAUGAUUUAAAUCCCUCUUUCCCUUUGACACAAAAGAUUAAAAAAAUUGGGAUGCUACACCAAAGCUAGAUCCCCCAGUGGCCCAGACGUUAAAAAUAACCACACUAUCCUUGGAAGAUAGCUCAGGGCUAAAUGAUCCAAUGGACAAGAAAGCUGAAGCAGCCCUUAGGAAGUCAUAUCUCGAAGAUGCAGCCUCAUUCAAACCAGCAAUUGCAGCAGCCUCAGUUGCUAGAUCCCUAAAAAUCUGGAUCAAUCAAUUACAAAAUGGAUUGAAGAAGGGAACUUUAAGAGAACAUCUCCUGGAAGAUUUACCAAUACUUUCAUUAGAACAAACGGCAAUCUUCCAGCACACGUUAUAUGUAUUUUCUUCUGGGGGGUGCACACAAGAGAUGUGUUCACCUUCACAUACCUUAUAGCUCAAAGUCAAAAGGUAGCAGCACUCCCAUCUUGUGAAGAUAAAACCGCCUUUAUUAUUUCAUACGGCAACUCCAGCAACGUUUCAGACACUCCAGGUCCUUUCUCAUUCUGACAAAGUGUCAAUUGCAACGAAUGAAUAUCUGGGAAUCUGUUGGAGAAAAUGUAGCUGGGCAAUAAUAUGACCUGCAUAAUCAAAAAAUGGCUUGCAAUUGGAUUUUGUUUAACAUUUCUCCUGAAAUGAUCUACUAUAUCCCCUUUCAAACAACUGUUACAAUGUCUACAUGUUAAGGAAAAACUACUGCUUUAUACUACUUUGGCCCAGCAAGUGCUAUGACUGAAGCCUUGGGCAGCAGACAUUGCUUCCAAAAAUCAUCUUCUUAAUAUGCCUUUUGAAGGAGAAAAAUCAUUUGAAUCGGAAUUAGAUCUACUUGUUGCGAAGAAAUCUGAUGUCAGGGGGCUUCCCCAGGAUAGAAAACAAAGGAAACUAUUUUUUCAUACACAGGGUCCAUCAUACAAAACGAGACCACAAGGAAGAGGCAUCAGAUCCAGUAGGGAUACAUUUUUCUCUUACAGGGGAGGACUAAAGAACAUUGUAUCAGCUUGGAAAAAGAUAACAAACGACAAGUGGGUCCUUCAAACAAUCCAGAAGGGUUACUCUAUAGAGUUUAUAGCCAUACCACAAAACAAGUACAAGUUGUCCCCAAGACCACUCAUCGGUGGUCAAAGACGAGCCCUCUCAGAAGCCAUUCAAAAAUCAGGGUGUAGUCAUUCCAGUCCCUCCAGCGGAAACAUUUUUAGGGUUAUAAUAUCUUAUGUUCCUUGUUCCCAUGCCAGACAGAAAAUAUUGAACCUUUAAGGUUCCUAAACCAGUUCAUAGAAAAGAAGUAAUUCAAAAUGGAAACAAUCCACUCUGUAAUAGCAUCAUUGUCUCCAGAAGUCCAGGAUCUUCAUAGUGGUCCCAGCUUUUUUAAGGGAAAGAUUGAUGGCAAUCAUACCCUACUUUGACUGGCAUAAAAGCAAGAUCCAAUUCCAUUUUAAAAGAAGAUCUUUAUUUUAUUAUUCAUACCCUACAGUCCCUAGGCUGGGUUGUAAACUGGGAAAAGUUGGUAAUUUUUCCAAUUCAUAAAAUAACAUUUUUAGGAAUGUGGCUGGAUACAAAAAUAGGCAAGAUUUUUUACCAGAAGAAAAAUGCGAAAAUAUAAUUCAGAAAGUAUCCCUGCUUACUCAAAGAAGAAGAUCUGCAGUAAGACAAAUUUUGGAAACCCUUGGUCUUUUUACUUCAUCAAUAGAGGUAGUUCCUUGGGCCAAAGCCCAUGCCACAUCAUUACAAAACUUCUUGAUCCAAAAUUGGAAUCCGCAGGAAGAUUCAUUGAACCAACGUGUAGUCCUUCCAGUUCAAGUAAGAGUCUCUCAACUGGUGGCUGGUGCCACAGAACCUUCAAAAAGGAACCAACCUGUUUCCAAAACAGGCAUAGACAAUUACCACGGAUGCAACAUUCCAAUGUUCUCAGAACCAGAAGCCGUCUGGAGGUCAGUUCUGGCCUUCAAGGAUUCCAUAAGAGACCACUCCGUAAGAAUCCACACAGACAACAUAGCAACAGUAUACUACUUGAAUCACCAGAAAUCAAUCUGGAAGAAUUAACAGCAAGACAUAUAAAAAGGCUCCACAAAUACAAUAGUAGAUUUUCUAAGUCGCCAGGAAAUUUCACCAACAGAAUGGAGUUUAAAUCCAGAGGUGUUUUCUCAAAUCUGUGGCCUUUGGGGGAUUCCAGAAAUAGACCUUAUGGCCACAAGAAAAAACAGCAAAGUGAAAAAAUUUUUUCCCUAAUAACAACGAGUAGUGAAAAAACAAGCAGAGCUCACCCUUUCUGUAGUGUAGCGUGUCGGCCCCAGCAAUAGUCCAGCAACUCCAAGCCAGAACCUACAACAGUCUCGGUGUAUCGCCGUUCCGCACUGCCUAAUCACCCCUCAGGAGUGGCUACAAAUUUCUUUAAAAAAAGCGGCUUUUAUUCAGCUCAAUAAGUGAUUACAUUGGCAGUGGGAAAGUGGUACAAAUGCGUUUCGUGCCCUUCCUAUUGGCACUUCAUCAGAGUUCAACAUCAGGCAACAGUAAUUGUAAUUGCAGUUGAUAUGCGGAUCUGCUACAAAUGUCGACCUGUCCGCCUUGGCCUUUACCAAAAAGAAAAGAUCUACUACUACAAGGGCCAGUGCUACGUCAUAACCCAGAUGCCUUAUAGUUGAUGGCCUGGAAACUGAGAGGGACAUACUAAGACAGCAAGGAAUUUCAUCCAAGGUAAUUGAUAUCCUGCUUCAGAGCUGGAAAAGAAUCACUAAAGCUGGCCAUAGACGCAACGAUCCAAUCGUACGAAUUGUGGAUUCGUACGAUUUUCGGACCAUGUGUGGAGAGUCCCAACAUUUUUCGCCCGGCAGAGAUUGGUCGUUUGGUCGAUU